UGUUUCGGCUAGGGGGCCAUCCCGGCUUACCAACCCGAUGCAAACUGCGAAUACCGGAGAAUGUUAUCACGGGAGACACACGGCGGGUGCUAACGUCCGUCGUGAAGAGGGAAACAACCCAGACCGCCAGCUAAGGUCCCAAAGUCAUGGUUAAGUGGGAAACGAUGUGGGAAGGCCCAGACAGCCAGGAUGUUGGCUUAGAAGCAGCCAUCAUUUAAAGAAAGCGUAAUAGCUCACUGGUCGAGUCGGCCUGCGCGGAAGAUGUAACGGGGCUAAACCAUGCACCGAAGCUGCGGCAGCGACACUGUGUGUUGUUGGGUAGGGGAGCGUUCUGUAAGCCUGUGAAGGUGGCCUGUGAGGGUUGCUGGAGGUAUCAGAAGUGCGAAUGCUGACAUAAGUAACGAUAAAGCGGGUGAAAAGCCCGCUCGCCGGAAGACCAAGGGUUCCUGUCCAACGUUAAUCGGGGCAGGGUGAGUCGACCCCUAAGGCGAGGCCGAAAGGCGUAGUCGAUGGGAAACAGGUUAAUAUUCCUGUACUUGGUGUUACUGCGAAGGGGGGACGGAGAAGGCUAUGUUGGCCGGGCGACGGUUGUCCCGGUUUAAGCGUGUAGGUGUGUGUUCCAGGUAAAUCCGGUUCACUUUAACACUGAGGCGUGAUGACGAGGCACUACGGUGCUGAAGCAACAAAUGCCCUGCUUCCAGGAAAAGCCUCUAAGCAUCAGGUAACAUCAAAUCGUACCCCAAACCGACACAGGUGGUCAGGUAGAGAAUACCAAGGCGCUUGAGAGAACUCGGGUGAAGGAACUAGGCAAAAUGGUGCCGUAACUUCGGGAGAAGGCACGCUGACACGUAGGUGAAGUGAUUUACUCAUGGAGCUGAAGUCAGUCGAAGAUACCAGCUGGCUGCAACUGUUUAUUAAAAACACAGCACUGUGCAAACACGAAAGUGGACGUAUACGGUGUGACGCCUGCCCGGUGCCGGAAGGUUAAUUGAUGGGGUCAGCGCAAGCGAAGCUCCUGAUCGAAGCCCCGGUAAACGGCGGCCGUAACUAUAACGGUCCUAAGGUAGCGAAAUUCCUUGUCGGGUAAGUUCCGACCUGCACGAAUGGCGUAAUGAUGGCCAGGCUGUCUCCACCCGAGACUCAGUGAAAUUGAACUCGCUGUGAAGAUGCAGUGUACCCGCGGCAAGACGGAAAGACCCCGUGAACCUUUACUAUAGCUUGACACUGAACAUUGAGCCUUGAUGUGUAG
rnacentral:rRNA from 1 species